GGUGGAUGAUGUGGAUUAAUUCGAUGCAACGCGAAAAACCUUACCUACCCUUUGACAUGUCUGGAACCUUGCUGAGAGCGAGGGUGCCUUCGGGAGCCAGAACACAGGUGCUGCAUGGCUGUCGUCAGCUCGUGUCGUGAGAUGUUCGGUUAAGUCCGCUAACGAGCGCAACCCUCGUCGUAUGUUAUAUGUGUCAUACGAGACUGCCGGUAAAAAGCCGGAGGAAGGUGAGGAUGAUGUCAAGUCAGCAUGACCUUUAUAUCCAGGGCUACACACACGCUACAAUGGUCUGUACAAUGGGUAGCCAAGCCGCGAGGCGGAGCCAAUCCUGAAAGCAGGCCUCAGUUCAGAUUGCAGUCUGCAACUCGACUGCAUGAAGCCGGAGUUGCUAGUAACCGCAGGUCAGCAAUACUGCGGUGAAUACGUUCCCGGGUCUU
rnacentral:rRNA from 1 species